GACCAGGACUUAGGAGUCAGCUCUGGCACUGGGUGGACAGUGUUAACUGUGUCCUUUUUGACCACAGAACUCAUUUCCUCUUUUGCAGGUUCUUAAUGUGACCCACUUUGUGUUCCAAGGUUAUGACAGAAAACGUGGCAUAAAGGCUGGAUUUUGGUAAGCUUCUGUCCCCGAGACAGUGAUGCUCAUGAGGAAGAUCUCUUCCACGAGUAGAUGGCCAUGCUGCUUGUUCAGUGCUCCUUGGAUGCAGGCUGGCAGCUGAUUUAGCUGCUGCUGAAUAACAUUUCCUUUGCCAGACCAAGGCUUUGGCCUGAGUAUUUGCACAUCCUUCUCUCUUCUAGACUGGGAAACCUGUCAAUGGCAAAGUAUUAACAAGUCUCGCUUUUGUGUUUGCUGUAUCAUUGGGAUAGGAAACUGACAUCAAGUUACACGAGUUUAACUUGGUGAAAGAAGAGCAACAGAAUGUCUCCUGGAAAAAGCUUUUCCCACACAUGCCCUCCCCUGAAAAAGAACAACUCCUCCUUCCUAACUCCAGAGCCGCUGCUUGAAUAUCCCUUUAUCUGGUGAAACUGAGUCUCAAGGGUGAGUAAGAUCAUGCUCCUCUCGGAGCACCCUGUAGCAGAGUUGGCAUCACAGCUUCAUUUUGGAGUUCAAAA
rnacentral:lncRNA from 1 species